rnacentral:tRNA from 2 species
CAAAGUAGAGCUUGAAAGUUAAGCAUUUCGUUUACGUUGAAAAAAAUUAUCGUGCAAAUCGAUUUACUUUGA